GUACAGAAGAUAGAGAGAUACCAUGAUCAAGAGGGUUUUCCAAGGGCAAGGCUUAUCCAUUGCCCUGUGGAUGUGCUUCCCCGUCACUUCUCCAGAUGUCAGAAACUUGACUAGAUAAUCUGUGGUCGUGGGGGCCUGUGAUCACACUCUUUCCUA
ensembl:snRNA U1 U1 spliceosomal RNA